rnacentral:lncRNA from 1 species
CCAUAGAACUCAGAGAGUGGGUGAAAAACAUCAGAAUGGCACAAAAAAAAUCACACAAAUAUCAAUUUGUGCAUGAGAGGAGUGGUCGGUGUGAAGAGAAGAGCCCAACUCAUUUUGGACUUUAGGUUUAAAUCCAGUUUCAAACCAUUUAAAUUCAAAAUUUAAACCAACCAAAUUCUAAUCCAAAAGGGAUCAGAAUGUGGGUGACUUUUGCUUCUGGGUGUGAAAAAAUAUUCACAUAAGAACCUUUCUUUAUGUGAAAAAAAUUGGCGC